CGUUCUCAGGGCGGGGUGCAAGUCCCCACCGGCGGUGAUGGCGCGCAACGCGUCGAGCCCGCGAGCGCUUGCCACGACCGGCCCACCGCCGCAGUGGCAAGGUCAGCAGACCCGGUGCGAUCCCGGGGCCGACGGUAACAGUCCGGAUGAAGAGAG
rnacentral:ncRNA from 1 species